rnacentral:rRNA from 1 species
AGCAGUGAUGUGGAGCAAAACUCAAAAAAAUAAGUCUCAGUUCGGAUUGAAGGCUGAAAUUCGCCUUCAUGAAGCCGGAAUUGCUAGUAAUGGCAGGUCAGCAUACUGCCGUGAAUACGUUCCCGGGCCUUGUACACACCGCCCGUCACACCAUGAGAGUUGGGAAUACCCGAAGCCUGUGAGCUAACUUUUAGAGGCAGCAGUCGGAGGUAGAAUCAAUGAUUGGGGUGAAGUCGUAACAAGGUAAC